rnacentral:rRNA from 1 species
GGACGGGUGAGUAAUACAUCGGAACGUAUCCUGAAGUGGGGGAUAACGCAUCGAAAGAUGUGCUAAUACCGCAUAUACUCUGAGGAGGAAAGUAGGGGAUCGAAAGACCUUAUGCUUUUGGAGCGGCCGAUGUCUGAUUAGCUAGUUGGUAAGGUAAUGGCUUACCAAGGCAACGAUCAGUAGUUGGUCUGAGAGGACGACCAGCCACACUGGGACUGAGACACGGCCCAGACUCCUACGGGAGGCAGCAGUGGGGAAUUUUGGACAAUGGGCGCAAGCCUGAUCCAGCAAUGCCGCGUGAGUGAAGAAGGCCUUCGGGUUGUAAAGCUCUUUCAGUUGAGAAGAAAAGAUUGUAACUAAUAAUUGCAAUCCAUGACGGUUCGACAGAAGAAGCACCGGCUAAUACGUC